CGACCUGCCCAUGAGAGAGGGAUAACCCAGCGAAAGUUGGACUAAUACCUUAUAAUACUAUUUAAUCGCAUGAUUUUAUAGUCAAAGGGUGCCAAUUUAUUGGUAUUGCUUAUGGAUGGGCCUGCGUUCCAUUAGUUAGUUGGUAAGGCAACGGCUUACCAAGGCGACGAUGGAUAGCUGGUUUGAGAGAGUGAUCAGCCACACUGGGACUGAGAUACGGCCCAG
rnacentral:rRNA from 1 species